UUACGGGUUGAUGUGGCCGGUGAAAUUCAGGUCCCACGUUUGCUCAUGCGCGUGCCUUCUCUGAUAAUUCUCGACGAAGAAAAAGUCCAUCGAAUCUCAGCCGUUGGAUUUAGUAAUGGGUCCGACGAAGUGCGUGGAUAGCAUCUUAGAAGUUGCGGUCCAUGUCAGCGUGUGUGGACAAACCCGCACCAUAUUAACAACUU